ACUCAAAGGAAUAGACGGGGGCCCGCACAAGCGGUGGAGCAUGUGGUUUAAUUCGAUGCAACGCGAAGAACCUUACCUACCCUUGAAUCCACAGAACCUGCAGGAGACUGCGGGGUGCCUUCGGGAGCUGUGAGACAGGUGCUGCAUGGCUGUCGUCAGCUCGUGUCGUGAGAUGUUGGGUUAAGUCCCGUAACGAGCGCAACCCUUGUCCUUAGUUGCCAGCAAGAAAGUUGGGGAAUCUAAGGAGACUGCCGGUGAUAAACCGGAGGAAGGCGGGGACGACGUCAAGUCAUCAUGGCCCUUACGGGUAGGGCUACACACGUGCUACAAUGGUCGGUACAAAGGGCUGCGAACCCGCGAGGGGGAGCCAAUCCCAGAAAGCCGAUCUCAGUUCGGAUUGGAGUCUGCAACUCGACUCCAUGAAGUUGGAAUCGCUAGUAAUCGCGAAUCAGAAUGUCGCGGUGAAUACGUUCUCGGGCCUUGCACACACCGCCCGU
rnacentral:rRNA from 1 species